rnacentral:rRNA from 1 species
UACGGGGGGAGCAAGCGUUGUUCGGAUUUACUGGGCGUAAAGGGCGUGUAGGCGGCCACCGCAAGUCGGUUGUGAAAUCUCCGGGCUUAACCCGGAAAGGUCAACCGAUACUGCGGGGCUAGAGUGCAGAAGGGGCAACUGGAAUUCUCGGUGUAGCGGUGAAAUGCGUAGAUAUCGAGAGGAACACCUGCGGCGAAGGCGGGUUGCUGGGCUGACACUGACGCUGAGUGAGCGAAAGCCAGGGGAGCAAACGGG